rnacentral:rRNA from 1 species
GAAUCUUCCGCAAUGGGCGAAAGCCUGACGGAGCAACGCCGCGUGAGUGAUGAAGGUCUUCGGAUCGUAAAACUCUGUUAUUAGGGAAGAACAUACGUGUAAGUAACUAUGCACGUCUUGACGGUACCUAAUCAGAAAGCCACGGCUAACUACGUGCCAGCAGCCGCGGUAAUACGUAGGUGGCAAGCGUUAUCCGGAAUUAUUGGGCGUAAAGCGCGCGUAGGCGGUUUUUUAAGUCUGAUGUGAAAGCCCACGGCUCAACCGUGGAGGGUCAUUGGAAACUGGAAAACUUGAGUGCAGAAGAGGAAAGUGGAAUUCCAUGUGUAGCGGUGAAAUGCGCAGAGAUAUGGAGGAACACCAGUGGCGAAGGCGACUUUCUGGUCUGUAACUGACGCUGAUGUGCGAAAGCGUGGGGAUCAAA